ACUGGUUAUAAAGUUUUAAUUUGGGGGUGGGGGAGGAUGGGGGCGUAGAGCCCAAUGAAGUUUCCGACAGGAGUUCCAUACGUUCCAGAAGGCUUACAGGACCCUGGAGGUCUGGUUAGCCUCAAGCCGAGGUUGGUUUUUGCGUCCAGCAGAGCGUUAACAUUAAGGCAGUUGUGAGUUCCUUGAGGAGGUCCUGUGUCAGCUAUUGACCAGUGGGCUGCAAGGUGUAAGGAAACUGAAUUGCAUCUCCAUUUCUUUUGCCUUUCUUCACCUCAUCACCCGCCAUCUUUUUUCUUUCCCUUCUUUUCUGUAACAUUCAAAGUCUGUUCCCUGCACACAGGCUCAGCACGUUCUUAUGCAAAGUGGAAGCCACUGGUGGUCACACAGAUUGUUCACUUUUCAAGAGUGGGCUGUGCUCCUUUCCCAAGGAGGGCAAGGACAUAACCUACAAAAGGAAAAAUAUGGGAGAACCCCCUCCUCUCACAGCUACGUUUCUGUUGCGCACGUUCUCUUCAGGCACAGAGCUACUUUUCAGCAUGUCACAGAGAGCAAACAUGCAAGCAUGGCAUUUACGGCUUUCCCUCAAAAGUGAUCUGUGACUGGAUCCCGAGCAGACCUGAGCUUUAUAGGGUGUCAUAGGCUGUUGCUUUCAUAAAUGUCACGGACAUAAAACGAACUUUGUGGAAGCACCGAGUUCUCAUGAGUGCUGAUUCUGCGAGCAGGCCCGGCAGCACAGGGAUGGGGGAGGAAUUGUCGGGAUCCUGGAAUAAUCACGGGGCAGCACGGCCUCGCUCUGGGCUUCUGUGUCCUACUUGUUUACAGACUCGUCAUCCGUUCUGCGGAUUGGGCCAGCGAGUUGCUCUGUUGACAGCCAAAGGCACUCAUGAGAAGACUUAAACAACCAAGUGUGACAGCACACGUGGGGUCACUCCGUCUACCAUGAAAGUAGGACCCGUGUCUGCCUCAGAUUGGGGAUUCUUACACAAUGAUCAAAGAAGCCCAAACUUUUUCCUUUACUCCGAAGACUUUAAACACUGGACCGUGACCUUCUUAGGGACAGUGUGACUUUGCUCCUCUCUCACACUCAGCCUAGAGACGGUGCCCAGAUCGGAAAUAAAGCAGCUGAA